rnacentral:rRNA from 1 species
UACGUAGGGGGCAAGCGUUGUCCGGAAUCAUUGGGCGUAAAGCGCGUGUAGGCGGCUGAGUAAGUCUGCUCUGAAAGCCCGGGGCUCAACCCCGGGAGGCGGGUGGAUACUGCUCAGCUCGAGUCCGGAAGAGGAGUGUGGAAUUCCACGUGUAGCAGUGAAAUGCGUAGAUAUGUGGAGGAACACCGAUGGCGAAGGCAGCCCCCUGGGUUAACACUGACGCUCAUGCACGAAAGCGUGGGGAGCAAACAGG